rnacentral:lncRNA from 1 species
UGAAGAAUUUGUCUGAGUGGCAGAAGCUUUCUACGCGGCCCGAGGAGAUAGCCAUGUGCCUUUGCUACCACUCAUAUUUGAGAGGUGACUUCGACAAGAUGACUUUGACAAAGUGACUUUGACUUGACAGACAUAUUAACACGAAACAGGCUAUGUCUACCACAUUCUACAAGUUUCUUUCACCACGAAAGAGGCCAGGAAGCUGGCUUCUGGCCCCACAGGGGAGUCCUCCCAAUAUGCUUGUUUUCCCUGGACUCUCCCAGAUUGAGAUGUUAGCACAGUUGAAGGUAAGGAGAGGCUCUUGCUCUGCCAUCAGGCUCUACAGGCAGCUCUCAGGGCAGCCACAAAUGGCCCACAAAUUUGGCCAGAGUGUAUGAUAUUAGGCAGGGGGAAAAUAAAAGGACUUUUCCAGAGGGUCAUGGAGGCAUGGGGGAGGACACCCCCAUGGACCCUGAAUCACCAGAGGUAAAGGCAGCAGUCACUCUAGCUUUUAUUUAAAAAAAGCUCCAGGGGGUUGGGAGGUUCAGUAAAAAGGGGUCUCAGGAAUUUAGUGAUAGUGGCAGAGAGAAUAUGAGAGGACAGAAACAACAACUUGACCCCUAGCAAAGAUCCCACUGGCAUCCAAGGCCAAACAAGAAGAUUUCAAGAGACACUUAAAACAGAUUCAGAAGAAGGAGAUAAAAGGGGCCCUGAGAAUCAAAAGUGCCCCCUCCCCAAGCCCAGGGUAAUCCUAAAAGUAAAAGGGAAACCCACCAAGUUUUUUUGUUGACAAUUAAUAAAGUUCAACAUUCUGUCUUGCUAAAACCUGAAGAUAAAGUCUCUUUAUCACUUUAUAAAUGACGUCCCAGUGGCAACACAAACAAAACAAAAACUCAAGAUCUCUUAGAGGCCUUAAUAAAUUUGGGACUAUUGAACAUCUGCUAACAAGGCCUUAUUCUGUCAACUACAGGUGACAGCACUAGACCAGGGGGAUACAUACUCAGACUUUGGGCCCUGGCAUCAGCCAAUGGCCAAUGUGUCAUCAAUUGGCAGAACCUGGCCCCUGCCCUGUUUGCACAUCAGUGCAGCAAUGAUCUUCUAGGUAAAUAUGAUGCCAGAAUGACUCAUUACCAGCCUCUCUUCUUGAAUGUCCCCAGGAUAACUUUUCAACUGUCCUACUGCCUGACCUUGAGCUCGAUUAAUGGGUCCCUGCAUGAUUUCUCGGAAGGAUGCAGAGGUAACAUGGUUCACCAAUGGCAACAGCCUCAUUCAGGAUGGACAGAGGUCCACCUCCAAAGCUCCACCAACUUUAGCCUGGAGAUUGGGCCCUAGUCAAGAGACACUGCCAGAGGUCACUAGAGCUUCACUGAAAGGGUCCCUGUGCUACAGAGUUGCAGUGUGGAUUCACCACACAUCCAUUUGCAGUUGAAGAAGAAAGACCCUGGCCAGCAGGAGGAGAAUUCAGCCUCAAGACUCCUUCCUGUCUCCCAUUAAUGGGCUCCUACCCAUGCCCCCACCGCAAAGAUAUUACUGUUACUGCUUUCAUGAAGGUUCAGAAAGUCCCAUGAUUGGUACUUCUAGUCACAAGAGAAAGGGGUGGGGGGAUGAGAUGCCAAAGCUUUUAAGUCCAGACUCCAUUUUAGGGAAGCUGACCUGAGUUUGAACCCAGGUGAACUAACAGGAUGGUACCUAGCAUUAGUUUCCAAGUUGCUCCCCCCCCAGCCCCCCCCCCCCCCCCGCAACAAAACCUGAGCCUAGCUCCAGUCUCUAUGUUAAUCCCCACAAAAGCAGAGUUUACCAGUGUCUCUAGGUUAUUCCUCCAACAAACCUGCAUUCCAAGUUACAAGCCCACCCCUUGCCUAAUGACCACCAAUUCAGAGGGGAGCAGAAGUUAAGUUUAUAUGACUCUCAGCACCAGUCAAUUGUAUUAGAGGCCACAAUAGCUUUCCAAUUAGAUGCUUGUACACGUACUUCCUGCUUGCUACUUACUAUAAAGCCUUGCCCCAUAGGCAUUCGGGGCUCCCCCACCACCAAAACCAUCCUGUGUGAUGGUGGUGCAUUGGGGGUGGGGGUGUAGGAGAGCUAGCUGGAAUAGAAUAAAGACCCUGCUGUGAAUUGCAUCAGAUUGGCUCCUGUGUGUGUUUCUGGAGAUCACUAACAUUUCCCUUAUAUAACAUAAGCUCUUUGGGUAGACCCCAGGCUUAAGUUCCCAAAGCUACUGCUGCUAAGGAAACCCUGUUUUGUAAAGAUUGAGAGUUACUACAAUAAAGCUUUUCUAACAGAACCUAGUCCCCCAAAAAGUGUUUAAUCAACGUUAUUCUAUUCUCCAGAGCUGUGAGCAUGAGC